AUUAGUGAGUCAUUUCGUUGUCAUUUACGGAAUAGUGUUACAUGUAGUUCAGUUUUCUUUCACCCAACACAUGUAUUAUUGUCUGUGAUUCUCUCUCCUCAGAGUGGGCUGUGUACGCGCCAGAAACAGAUAAUCCAUUAACCUGCUAAACAAUUUGCUCUUCAGUCGUGCACAUCAGACUCGAGGUUUCAGUUCAUGUAACCUCGAAACGGACCGUUCUGCCGGUUUGGUCUAAUUCCGUGUCUUCCGAGGAAGGAAAAAAAUGAGCCUGGCUUUCUGUCGCGCUCCCCGGAAAAACGCGGGGAGCCGCAUGUCCAAACUGCUGGAUGCAGAAGAAGAGGACGAGUUCUACAAGACCACCUAUGGAGGCUUCAAUGACGAGUCUGGAGAUGAUGAGUACAAAGGAGACCUUUCAGACACAGAGGAUGAGGUGGACAGUGACUUUGAUAUCGAUGAGGGAGAAGAACCUGACAGCGAGCAGGAGGAAGAUGGACCUCGAAGGAAGAGCAGAGUUGUUACCAAGGCCUACAAGGAGCCCAUUAAAGCUGUGAAACCUAAGCCUAAGCCAAAGAAGCUGAGUGAGCUGCCCAGGAGAGCAGACAAGAUCAAGACUGAGAAGCACAAAACUCUCGAGCUCCAGGAAGACAUCAGUAAGAACAGGAAGUCUGUGCGGCAAUCCACUACCGAGCACACACGGCUAACCUACCUGCGACUACAGGAGAGGCAGGUGGCUCCUCGUCGCAGGAAGGGCACUCGCCAUGAGCGUCCUCUGACUCAGGCAGAACUUCUAGCCGAGGCCAAGGUCACAGCAGAGAUUAACUUGCGCUCACUGGAAAACUAUGAGCGUCUGGAGGCAGAUAAAAAGAAGCAAGUCCACAAAAAGCGCCAGUGUGUGGGCCCAGUCAUCCGCUACCACUCUGUACUGAUGCCUCUGGUGUCUGACCCCUCUUUCAAAGAAGAGAAUGUGGAUGUGGAGGGGUUGGACCAGGACCCCCAGCAGUCUCAUCCUGGCUCUGGAGCUGGAGCUGCAGUGUUGUCCCAGUCCGAGGCAACCCUCUCUGGCCAACCAGUGUCCAUCUCUGCUCCCCCACCACCAGGAGGUGGCAGGUGCUCUCGCACCUACAUCACCUUCAGUGAUGAGGACACCUUCCAGUCCUUCUUUCCUAAGGCCUCCGCCCCACGCGUCCCUGUCAAAGAAGUGUGCCCAGUCACUCACAAACCAGCCCUGUACCGCGACCCUAUCACAGACAUUCCAUAUGCCAACCUGAGAGCCUUCAAGAUUAUCCGUGAAGCCUAUAAGAAGUAUGUGGCAGCGCAUGGCCUGCCAUGCCCCGGCACUACUCUUCCAGCAGAGCCCACUGCCAAGAGCCUGCGGCAGAAGAUUGUUAUCAAACAAGGCAUAUGAGGAUACAUGUAUGGAGAGAGAGAUUUCCAAACCCAAUUGAAGAACCCAACCUGAACAUUCUGCCACUUUCAGCUUGCCCUUAUACCCCCACUCAUGCUGUAUCCAAGGCCUCAGUAUUUCCAAACCCAAAUGAAAGCUGAACAGAAUAUUUCAGAAGCCACAUUCUGCCUGCCCUUAUACCCCCACUCAUGCUGUGUUCAAGGCCUCGGUGUAAGUAUUUAUGGGUUUAGGUCUUUACAGCUCAAUGUCUUCAAAUCUUAAGUACAUACCACUUUCUAAAUGCAAAAGUUUCAUUUCAGAUAUUGUCACUGUAAUUAGACCCUAUAACACCAUAUUUAAAUGCCAACUGUUGUUAUAUUAAAAGCAAACCUUUGACGUUUUU